CAUUAUUGAAUAAACUUGAUGGGGGGGUUGCUGCUGGUGGCUCUUUUGGUACAUGUGCACACCCCAACACCAUUUUUAAAACCACCACUGUGCACUCUGUGUAGACCUAGGGUGAUAACUCUCGAGGUGACUCGGUUUGAGGACUGACUAACUGCUGUGUGGCAGGAUGACUGUCCUUGCAUUCCCUGGUCUAUGUUUUUCAUACACUCCACUAGUAUGUCAUUGAAUGUAUUUUAAUUGGGCUCUGUUUGUCCUUUAAAUUUGUACAACUUUCAACAACGGAUCUCUUGGCUCUCGCAUCGAUGAAGAACGCAGCGAAAUGCGAUAAGUAAUGUGAAUUGCAGAAUUCAGUGAAUCAUCGAAUCUUUGAACGCACCUUGCGCUCCUUGGUAUUCUGAGGAGCAUGCCUGUUUGAGUGUCAUUAAAUUCUCAACCUUCUCCAGCUUUUGGAGUUGUGCUUGGAUGUGGGGGAUGUGGGCUUCUCAGAAGUCAGCUCCUCUCAAAAGCAUUAGCAGGAUCUUAUGUGGACCAGCUCCAUGGUGUGAUAAUUGUCAUCUACUCCAUAGCUGUGAAGCAAAUUUUUCGAGGUCCAGCUUUCAUUAGAUGAUAAAAUCGUGACAGCUUUG
rnacentral:rRNA from 1 species